GGCGCUCCUCCCCCAGCCUGGCUGCCGCCUUGCAGUUUGAUCUCAGACUGCUGUGCUAGCAAUCAGCGAGACUCCGUGGGUGUAGGACCAUCCAAGCCAGACAGGGCCUCAUUAUGUUGCCCAGGCUGGUUUUGAACUCCUGGGCUCAAGUGAUCCUCCCACGUAGGCCUCCCAAAGUGCUGAGAUUAUAGACAUGAGCCACCACACCUGGCAGGAAAGGCCACUCACUUGAGAAUACAGUAAGAAGGCAGCCAUUUGCAAGCAAGAAAGAUGGCCCUCACCAGAAAAUGAAUCUGCUGGCCCCUUGAUCUUGGACUUCUGACCUCCAGAACUGGGAGAAAAUAAGCCAAGACACAAAUUUCAGUGAUACAGAGAACAUAGAAGUGAAAGCAUGGAGCUAAUAUCAGCAAAGUCCAGUAAUAUUAAUACUAGUAACAUUUAUAAAGUAUUUACUCAUGUGUUAGCUACACGUGUGAUAAGUACAUCAUAAGCUAAGUGUUUCUUUUCAGGAUUAUGUAGAAAAGCUCAGAACUCCUAAUCAGAAAACCAACUCUCUCUAGACCUCUAACCCAUUAUAGAAAGUAGUGAGGAGGGUUCUUGAGAACUCUGGGUGCUUCAGUGACCUAGCAAGAACUUCAUGCUUGCUUGUAUUUCUCCUUCUUAACACCAAAAUUCUGCCUUGUGACUUAGGAACUAACAUCACUGGUCAUCCAUUUUCACCAAAUAAUUCCAAUUUAUUUAAAAGGCCAAGUGAACAUAUUAGAACUAAAAAUAAUAUGGUUGGAAUUGGGAAGUCAGCAAAUGGAAUUAACAGCAAAUUGGAUACAGCAAAGGAGUACAUUUGAAAUCAGAUCAAUAGAAAAUAUUCAAAUAGCAGUAAAAAAGGGGAAAAAUGGAAAAUAUGGAAAAAUAAUACAAGACAUAUAGAACAUAGUAAAAGUUUUAUAUGUAUGCACAUAAAAAGAGAGGUAAAAGACAGUGGAUCAGAAGAAUUAUAUAAAGGAAAAACAUCUGGAAAUAUUCCAAAAGUCAUGAAUAACAUCAAUCUGUAAAGUCAAGAAACUGAAAGUCCUGAGAAUAAAUGCUCAAUAAAAGUCCCAAGAAAACCAUUAUAAUAAGCAUCCUAGUAAAACUGAUGAAAACCGAAAGCAAAAAGAAUAUAUAAAAGCAGGAUGAGCACUAGGCUUAAUACUUGGGUGAUGAAAUAAACUGUACAAUAAACCCCCAUAACACAAGUUUACCUAUGUAACAAAGCUGCACUUGUACCCAUGAGCUUAAAAUAAAAAUUAAAAAUAAAUAAAUAAAUAGAGAUGGUGAUGAAAAAAGAAUAUAUUAAACCACAAAUAAAAUGGAUAUGUUCUCUUCAAAGAAGCGAGGAUAAGAAAUUUCUCAAUAGAAAUAAUUGCAGACAAAAGCUAAUGGAAUGACAUGUUUUAGUGGAGAAAGAAAAUAAUUGCCAUUCUAAAAGUUUAUAAUAAAAACAAUCUUCAAAACUGUAUGUAAAAUCUGCAUGCUUAUAGCAACACAAUUUGCAAUUGCAGAAAUAUGGAACCAACGUAAGUGCCCAACAACCAAUUAGUGAAUAAAGACAAUGUAAUAUAAAUAGACCAUGGACUACUACUGAGACAUAAAAAAGGAAUGAAAUAAUGUUAUUUGUGGCAAUUUGGAUGGUGCUGGAAGCCAUUAUUCUAAGUGAAGUAACUGAGGAAUGAAAAACCAAAUAUUGUAUUUUCUCACUUAUAAGUGGGAGCUAAGAUAUAAGGAUGCAAAGGCAUAAGAAUGAUACAAUUGACGUUGGGGACUCAGGAGGAAGGGUGGGAGGCAGGUGAGGGAUAAAAGACUACAAGUUGGGUACAAUGUACACUGCUCAGGUGAUAGGUGUACCAGAAUCUCAGAAAUCACCACUAAAGAAUUUAUCCAUGUAACCAAAAACCACCUGUACCCCAAAAACUAUUAAAAAAAUUUUAACUAUAUAUGAAAUAAAUACAAUUCCAGACAAAUAAAAAGUGAAAGAAUUUUUUCCAGAAAACUUGCAUUUAAAAACAAACAAACAAAAACCCAGUAAAGUGAAUUCUGCUGGCAGGAAGAAAGUGAUCCAGAAGGAAACAAGAGAAUGAAAGAAGAAAAGAGGAACAUAGGUAAUGAUAAAUGUGUGUGCAAACACAGAUGAAUACUGACUAUAAAAACAUCAAUAAGCAUGUAUUCAUUGCAUAUGUAUGUGCAUGUACAUGUAUUGCUUCCUGGUGACUCUCAAAUAUUGUCUUCAACUUUGACCUCUCAUCUGAAAUGAGCACCCAUAUAUUAAACUUUUGUUUCAACGUCUCCUUUUUUAAGUCUAAUGUACAUCUCAAAUUUAGUAUGUUCAAAAUUCAAAUUGUGGCCUUCCCUCCUAAAUGAUUGCAUUUUCCAUAGUUGUCAAUUUCUUGAUGAAUGGCCAGUUUAGUUUUCCAAUUACUCAGGUAAAAUAUCUUUAAGUCAACUUUUACUCGUAUAGUUUUUCGUAGAUAGAUAUACUUUCAGCAAAUUCUGUCUUCACACUAUUGCCAGAACCAGAUAACACCAUCUCCACUGCAAACAUUCUGAUCCAUCUUUCCCUUGGAUUACCCCAAUUGCCUCCUGAGUGGUAUCCCUUCUCCCUUCCCUCCACACAGGUUAUUCUCAAAACAGCAACUAGAGACAUCCUUUUCAAAACCAAAAUCAGACCUUGCCACUGUUCAAAAUGAUCCAGUAGAUUCUAUUGCAUUCAGAAUAGAAGUAAAGUUCU